rnacentral:rRNA from 1 species
UACGUAGGGUGCAAGCGUUAUCCAGAUUUACUGGGCGUAAAGCGCACGCAGGCGGAUGAUUAAGUCAGCUGUGAAAGCUCCCGGCUCAACUGGGAAGGGUCGGCUGAAACUGGUCGUCUGGAGGGCAACAGAGGAGUGUAGAAUUGCGGGUGUAGUGGUGAAAUGCGUAGAUAUCCGCAGGAAUACCAGUGGCGAAGGCGGCACUCUGGGUUGUACCUGACGCUGAUGUGCGAAGGCUAGGGGAGCGAACAGG